CCUACGGGAGGCAGCAGUGGGGAAUAUUGCACAAUGGUGGAAACCCUGAUGCAGCGACGCCGCGUGAAUGAAGAAGUCUUUCGGUGUGUAAAGCUCUAUCAGCAUGGAAGAAAAUGACGGUACCUGAUUAAGAAGCCCCGGCUAACUACAUGCCAGCAGCCGCGGUAAUACGUAGGGAGCGAGCGUUAUCCGGAUUUACUGGGUGUAAAGGGAACGUAGACGGCAGCACAAGUAUGGAGUGAAAUGCCGGGGCUUAACCCCGGAACUGCUGUGGAAACUGUGCAGCUAGAGUGCAGGAGAGGUAAGUGGAAGUCGUAGUGUAGCGGUGAAAUGCGUAGAUAUGAGGAGGAAGACCAGUGGCGAAGGCGGCUUACGGGACCGUAACUGACGCUGAGGCUCGAAAGCGUGGGGAGCAAACAGGAUUAGAUACCCGAGUAGUC
rnacentral:rRNA from 1 species